UACGUAGGGUCCGAGCGUUGUCCGGAAUUACUGGGCGUAAAGAGCUCGUAGGUGGUUUGUCGCGUUGUCCGUGAAAACUCACAGCUUAACUGUGGGCGUGCGGGCGAUACGGGCAGACUGGAGUACUGCAGGGGAGACUGGAAUUCCUGGUGUAGCGGUGGAAGUGCGCAGAUAUCAGGAGGAACACCGGUGGCGAAGGCGGGUCUCUGGGCAGUAACUGACGCUGAGGAGCGAAAGCGUGGGGAGCGAACAGG
rnacentral:rRNA from 1 species